AUUGAACGCUGGCGGCAUGCCUUACACAUGCAAGUCGAACGGUAACGCGGGGCAACCUGGCGACGAGUGGCGAACGGGUGAGUAAAGCAUCGGAACGUGCCCAGUAGUGGGGGAUAGCCCGGCGAAAGCCGGAUUAAUACCGCAUACGACCUAAGGGUGAAAGGGGGGGAUCGCAAGACCUCUCGCUAUUGGAGCGGCCGACGUCAGAUUAGCUAGUUGGUGGGGUAAAAGCUCACCAAGGCGACGAUCUGUAGCUGGUCUGAGAGGACGACCAGCCAACCUGGGACGGAGAAACGGCCCAGACUCCUACGGGAGGCAGCAGUGGGGAAUUUUGGACAAUGUACGAAAGUCUGAUUCAGCCAUGCCGCGUGCGGGAAGAAGGCCUUCGGGUUGUAAACCGCUUUUGUCAGGGAAGAAAUCCUUUGAGCUAAUACCUCGGGGGGAUGACGGUACCUGAAGAAUAAGCACCGGCUAACUACGUGCCAGCCGCCGCCGUAA
rnacentral:rRNA from 1 species